rnacentral:rRNA from 1 species
CAGUAGCCGCGGGAAUACGUAGGUGGCAAGCGUUGUCCGGAAUUAUUGGGCGUAAAGCGCGCGCAGGCGGAUAGGUCAGUCUGUCUUAAAAGUUCGGGGCUUAACCCCGUGAUGGGAUGGAAACUGCCAAUCUAGAGUAUCGGAGAGGAAAGUGGAAUUCCUAGUGUAGCGGUGAAAUGCGUAGAUAUUAGGAAGAACACCAGUGGCGAAGGCGACUUUCUGGACGAAAACUGACGCUGAGGCGCGAAAGCCAGGGGAGCGAACGGGAUUAGAGACCCGCGUAGUCCCUGUCUCUUAUACC